UGUCAAUGUCCCAAUCAGGUUGAUAUGCAAAAAUAAAUAAAUUAUACAUAUCACUAAUAUGUUUUAUCUAAAGAACUAUAUUAUUAUUUAACUAAUUAAUAAUUAACAUGUACUGCUAAUGCAUUGAUCAUGACCAUGUUUAUUUCCUCGGAGACGUCUCUCCAAGAUUGCCAAUUCACUCCGCAUUUGUCACGCACCAAUACCCCAACGUCACCCCUAAACUUUUUUACCAUAUCCGACUUCUCAUAUCCUACUAAUUCUGCAUAAGUGAUUCGGUAGCAUCUCUUUAUCAGCAGAAGUGUCUUGAACGCAUGUCUCAACUCUCUUUUUCUUGUCUACUAACAAAAUAAACACUUAUAAUGGUCUACUUAAAUAUUUAAUUAAUUUACACAACCAACAAAAAUUAGCACGUAUUACCUUUCCCAGAACCUUCACCCUAAACUCUCUUUGACGAAUGACCACCAGAGUCUGCCAUCGCGUACAGAAAAACAAACGAAAAUUGGAAUAAUAAUUCGGUAAAAGUAAAGAGUUUUCGUCGCGCAAAAUCAUGCAGUAAAUACCACAUUCAACACUUUGACUAAACAAUUGAUGAAUAAUUGGUCUCGCUAAGUAACACACGCUGUACUUAUUUUGGUGCUAAAAUACAGGCAUUUGCACGACGAAACAAUGCGUCGUGCAAAUUGUUUGUCCCAUUAGAUUUUGUCCAACGACCUGGUGCGUCAAAGUGGUAUGUUCGUCGCGCUAACCUAUCUUAUGCAACGAAAUUCCUUUCGUCGCAUAAAGUUUUGUUGCACAAAUGAGUUUUUCUACUAGUGUAACCCAUGUGGCACUUUAUAUUACUCCAACCAACUCUUCAAUCUACUCUUCAAAUUUUAUUUUUCACUUGAAAAUAUUAAUAUCUUAAGUUUAUCUAAUCUUAUGGGCCUUAAAUUUUGUCCAACGACCUGGUGCGAUAAAGUGGUAGUCGCGCUAACCUAUUUUAAGCAACGAAAUUCCUUUCGUCACAUAAAGUUUUGUCGCGCAAAUGGGUUUUUCUACUAGUGUAACCCAUGUGGCACUUUAUAUUACUCCAACCAACUCUUCAAUCUACUCUUCGAAUUUUAUUUUUCACUUGAAAAUAUUAAUAUCUUAAGUUUAUCUAAUCUUAUGGGGCCCAAGUUUUAUUUUCAAACUCUUAGAGGUUCAUUUUUCCUGCGCAACAUAGCAAAUAUAACUUUGCUACUCAGUUGCUAUAUUUGGUAGUUUCAUUCUUUUUUUAAAUUACAAACGUUAUUACUAUUUUAAAUCUUCAAAAUUGCCCUUUUAUAAAUAUCUCAUUUUCCUAUCAACUUACGGUAAUCCACACUUAUAAUUUAAUUAAAAAAUAAAACUAAAAAGGUGAAUCAAAUUCAUGUAAUAUUUAGUUAUGUCUCAGAGAUGCCUAUGUAUUGCAUGAUUUGAGAUAUAAUUUUUUGUAUUACAAAUAAUAUACAAGUACAAUUGUGGAAGAUUCUUGCAAAGAGGCUAUACAGAUUAUUAGCAAGCCAUCGCGUCAGCUGCGUGUCAUUUGCUAUCCAUCUGUUGGUACUUGUUAAUUAUGUAAGCUGCACUCGAUUGCACUUAAUUCAGGUCAACUUCGAUUGCUUUAUCUUAAUAAUUGAUGUGCGGAAUAUUCAUAUACCAAAUUGUUGAAACAUUUUUUGAUAGGUCCAAAAUGUUGAAAAGCCGACCGCUUUAGUAGAUUUUGUUUAAUUUCUAUUUUGAGAAGUGCUAAUUGGACACAAGUUGAUCAUAUUAUUAAUCUUACUUACAAUGAAAUGACUUAUUUCUAGUAGAAAUUGUCAACAACGUUAUCAAUUUUGUCUCUACCAUUUAUAGGAAUCAGACGGUUUUCGUUUGAUAUUUUUAACAUUGCUGUUAAAUUAGUGUGAUUUCAAUAACUGUGAGAGUCAUACUUCAAAAUCUACUAGUUUAUAUCAUACUCAAAAUUUUCAGCACACUCUGGACUGAAAGAAUAUGAUUCUUAUAUAAACUCAAUAUAUUAGUAUUACACUAACAUUUUCCAGCCUAAUGUAAUAUUAUAACAUUUUUGUUUUUGUUGUUGUUUUGGGUGAGGGCAAUAAGGAGAGCGAUGAAACAAGGGAUGGGAGUAGUAAUUGCUUAUGUAGAUUUACACUCAAAUUCUAAACCCUCGUAAAUGAGAAGUUAGUACCAAUUUGCAAACUCUUUUAGUAGGAUCUUUAUGAAAUCCAAUCGGUCACGUACAUGUUCGUAAUCGAUACGUUUAUCUAGAGAUUUCCCCAUGGGCCUUUUCAGGGGAGGCAGAUUGUCC
rnacentral:lncRNA from 1 species